UUUGUGUGAUUUUAUCUGAAAGUUUGAAGACUUAAAAUAUUUUUACUUUUAUGUUAAUGUACUUUUCUAGAGAGAAAUACAAAGUAUAUUACCUGGAGGAGUGCCAUUUAUGCUCCCUUAUGCUGUAAAAGUUGGUUGAUGCAUAAUUGGUUCUUUAAAGGUCCUAUUGUAUUCUUUUCCUCAUUAAGAGGAUUGACAGCUCUAACCUAGUGUUAUUUAUAAGCUAUACCCACAGGCACAUUGAAGUGUGUCCUACAUAUGGUAUAAUUAACCUGAGUCAUAAAUUGCUUAUCAAUCAUUUGCUCCUAGGUGUCAGAGGCAAUAUAUGGUAUCUUAAGAAUAAAACUGGGGAAACAUUGUUAAUACAAACAUACCUCAUUGAUUUGAGCCCCUGCCACUUCAGAAAUUGAGUUAAUUUGCUUGACCUGAGCUAACAUUUUUAACCCUUGCCUGACUCAUGAACAAAAGCAAAUCAGUGGUGUAAAGAGAAUUACAGGAAAAUGAUCAUCCUAUUUAAGGAGAAAAACCUAUUUGUAAGUAAUCAUUAAUUUAUUAAUUCAGCCAGUAUUUAUUAAGUGGUCACACAUUACAAUUACGGCACCAAGCACGAGUCUGAAAAUAUAAGGACCAGUUAGAUAGAGGCCCAGCCCUUAAGGAACAACAUUAUAUAGAUGGGAAUACAAGCAAGUAAACAAAGAGGAACAAUAAAAUGCCAUGACUGCCAAGAUAGCAGUCUUACAGAGGACAGGAAGGGGUAGAGGUCACAUCUAACUGCAGGCCUGGGAAUGAGGCAGAAAAGUCUUCAAAAGGAAAACAAUACUUGAACUGACUCUCUGGAGUUAAGAAUGUGGUUGGAUGGGCUGAAUGGAUGAGAUGAAGACAUUCUAGGCAGAAAGAGCAGCAUGAUCUAGAGGUUUGCAGCAAUCUACCUGGUUAGCAGAAUUGUCGGGCAGAUUGAGAACAUAUGCUACUACCACUGAUGGCGUCAAGUGAGUUCAGGCUGGAGUGGUGGUUGGGGGUCAGGGCAUGGAUGGUCUGGUUUCAUGGACUAAAAGAAUUUGAACUUUAUCUCGUGGGCAGUGGAGAACCAGUAAAGUCGUUUCGGCAAGAUAAUAACAUCAGCUUACUUUGCUGAUGGGUCAGCAAUGAAUUAGACAGGUGGAGCUAGGGGAGGCUAAACUGUUAAAGACAGUCCAAAUGAGCAAUGAUUGAGAUCCCAAAGUAGUAAUAUAGCAAUCAAGAGGAAGGGGAGGGAGACAGAUUGGAGAAAUGCUAGAAUCUAUAGGAUUUGCUGAUUGAUUGUAGUAAAGGGAUGGCAAGAGGAAGGAUUUAGGACAAGAGUUACAAUCUCGGAUGCCUGGAGAGCCAGACAGAUGACACAGAUGAAGAAAAGGAGCCUCAGCUUCCAAAGUGGCCAUUACGACUACUGUAUGACCUAAGAGCUUAUCUGAGUCUACAUGGACAUCUGUUACUCAGCUGAUUGUUCCAUGCAGAUAGGACCUGAUGUUGCCUCAUCUUCUGAUUUCUGAAGACACGUUAAAUCUGUCUUUCUAUGGGAAAUGUCCCAAGUCUGAAAUGUUGGCACAAAGUUUUCUAAAGUUCUCUCUGAACCAGACAAAAACAACUUCAACGAGUAAGCAGAGAGGUUGCAGCCUGUCUUCUAGGAUGACUCCUGUUUUCCAUUUUGAAUGAGUAGGAAAGUAUGGCGCCAUUCAAUAAGAUAGGAAAGGGAGGAGGAGAAGCAGGUUGGGAGGUGACGUGGGGAAAGCUGAUGAUGACGUUCUGAACAUGUUGAGUGUGAGAUGCCUCCGUUGAAUGUAGGUCAGAAACACAAAGAAAAGCCUGAACUGGAAAAUAAAGACCUGGGAAUUGUCAGUAAGUAGAUGGUAGAUGAAACUACUGAGGUAAAAGGGUCUGCUUAUGGAAAACAAAGUAUGAGUUGAAACAAGAGCCAGGAACAGAAUCUUAGAGAACACUAUCAUUUAAGAGGCUGGCAGAGAAAGAGGGGCUAGCAAAAGACAAAAAGAAAAUGUCACAAAA